UACGUAGGGGGCUAGCGUUGUCCGGAAUCAUUGGGCGUAAAGCGCGUGUAGGCGGUUCGGUAAGUCCGCUGUGAAAGUCGGGGGCUCAACCCUCGGAUGCCGGUGGAUACUGUCGGACUAGAGUACGGAAGAGGCGAGUGGAAUUCCUGGUGUAGCGGUGAAAUGCGCAGAUAUCAGGAGGAACACCGAUUGCGAAGGCAGCUUGCUGGGACGGUACUGACGCUGAGACGCGAAAGCGUGGGGAGCAAACAGG
rnacentral:rRNA from 1 species